rnacentral:rRNA from 1 species
UACGUAGGGGGGCAAGCGUUGUCCGGAAUCAUUGGGCGUAAAGCGCGUGUAGGCGGCCCGGUAAGUCCGCUGUGAAAGUCGGGGGGCUCAACCCUCGAAUGCCGGUGGAUACUGUCGGGCUAGAGUGCGGGAGAGGCGAGUGGAAUUCCUGGUGUAGCGGUGAAAUGCGCAGAUAUCAGGAGGAACACCAAUUGCGAAGGCAGCUCGCUGGAACGUAACUGACGCUGAGACGCGAAAGCGUGGGGAGCAAACAGG